rfam:Phaeobacter gallaeciensis strain JL2886, complete genome.
UUCGCCGGGGAUCGCCCUCCACCAGCGUGUUACGCCCGUGGGGGCAUUUGUG